GCUCAUACACUUUCACGACACUUGACUAUAAUGUACUUUGGAGCAGACACCAUAUAUCAGAGUCUUUAUUUAUAUUCCUACCACCAAAUAGUUUCAGAAAGAUCUUAGUGAAACAUUCAAAAAUGUUUCAAAAAAAAAAAAAAAGGCCUGGAAUGCAUAAAGCCCCAGGUUUGAUUCCAUCACAGCAUAAAGGGAGUAUAGUGAUGUUGUCUGUUAUUCCCGCACUUGGGAGGUAGAGGCAGGAGGAUCAGAAGUUCAAGGCCAUCCUUGGCUACAUAGCAAAUUCCAGGUAGCCUGAACUAGAAACACAACAUCUUCUCCUUUGCCAAUAGCAUUGUAAAAACAUCUCCUUUCCAUAGCCUUGAUUUAUGGGCUCCUCAUACACACUCUGAGCCUGAUGGAACACUCAGAAAAGACCACUCGGGAUUAAGCACUGCAUCGUGAAUCAAUAUUUCUACCUCCUUACAAAAUGUUCUGGUCACAGGGGAAGAAUGCUCCUGCUGGACCACAAGGGCAAAGAGAGAAGCCAGGACAGAGAUAGUAGCAAUUGAGAAAUCUCAACACCCUUUCUAAAGAUGGUCUGAGUCUUGGACACCCAGGUGCUCAUGAAGCCUUGGGAGAGAAGUGGAAACAUAGUGCCCCGACCCCUGGGAGAGCUAGAAACAGCAGGACUAGACAAAACUCACAUGAAAGACCAGGUUGCCAGCCCCCUUUCCUGGCUCAGCUCCUAGAACAAGCAUGGUCUGGCCUGUGUACCUCUACCCACUUAUCCUAUUCCACAGUCACAAUGAAUGAAGGACAUCCCUGCAGGAAGAACCCAAUGAAAGAGAAAGAUACAAGAGACCUUGGCACAUGGGGGUCUCCCUGUGGAACUAACACUCCCCCAUACCAUCCCACAGCACAGUAGCAAUAAGAGGGGAAAACCUGGCCAACAACCCGCUUAACAGUAAUAAUUACCAAGGUAGGAUGAGAGCUCCAAACAUGGCAAACCACAUGGAGAUCUGCCCCAGCAGCAUCGAUGGUCUCUGACAUUAGGGAAGAUAGAACAUCCACAGAUGAGGGUCACAGGGACAUAUUUUUUAAAAGGACACAGAACAAGAAAAGACUCCCUGAAGAAAGAAAUACAACUGGAAAAUUUUAAAUUACAGUGAUGGGACCUGGGAGAUGGCCCAGCAGAGCACUUGCUGUGCAAUUGCAAAAACCUGAAGUCAGUUCCCAGCACGACAUCAAGAACUAGGCACUGUGGCACACACUCAGACCUCAGUGCUGAAAGGCUGGAAGAGGCAGGUCCCAAGAGCCCUCUGACCAGCCAGCCUGGUUGAAUCAGAAAACUCCUAGUUCAAUAAAAGAACUCGUCUCAAACACUAAGUGGAGGGCAAUAGAGGAAGCCACCUGGAAUCAACCUCUGUCCUCUUACAUGCAUGUGCAUGUACACCCACACACGUGUAUGUACACACACCCAUAACAUGUAUGUACACCCACCCACAUGUAUAUACACUCACCUACAUGUGCAUGUACCUACCCACAUGUAAAUGCACCCACCACAUCUGUAUAUACCCACCUACGUGUAUGUACACCCACACACAUGUAUAUGCCCACCAACACAUAUAUACAUCCACCCACAUUACACACAAUUAUGAUGAACCACCUAAAGAUAAAACUAUGGGACUCUCCCAGAAAGAGAGAAAAUGGGGGAAGGGUGCGUGGAUAUAAAAGAUCAGCCUAGAAUCCCUGAAAUUUUCUAGUAAGAACCAUGGUCGGGGAGAGAAGAAGCAAACCCACUAAUCAAUAAAUACUUUCUCCAAAGUUUCCUAAGGCAAAGGACUUGAGAUUCCAUUUGAGCAACCAAGAGUGUACUCAAUGCGCUCUACAAAACAGAAAAACAAACCCCUCCAAACACAAUACUGGAAAUGUUUCACCCCCUAAAUGAAUGUACCUGAGUUCUUGAGAGCGAAACAGCCCAUGAAGCAACAACUGGGAUCCAAACAGCAUUUUGACUGCUCAGUGCUGACAGCACAAGCUAAGAACUGGAGCAGCACAGCAGUGUCCUCCAGCUGGGAGAAAAUAACAUCCAACCUAGAAUUUCUUGCUCAGCUGAAUAGAAAGAGGGAGUUAGGGCACGAUGAUGAUAACGGCCGCCGCACUGGCCGAGGCCUGAUGGAGUCACGCCACACAGCAACGUUAAAAUGUAAACUACUACUCCCCCCUUCAGAGUACUUAUU
rnacentral:lncRNA from 1 species